AUGUGCAAAGGCAGGACUACAUCCCACCGUGAAAUGAGCUGUGGUAAAGCUCCCAGGAAUGCUUCCUCUGAAGGCCCCAGUGCUGCAGCAAGAGGAGCAGUACGCCCAGGCAUUGUCAUGGCUCCGGUUUGCUGGACUGUCAUCUUGCCCCUCAGCAGCAGCAAAACUUCUGCUAUGAAAUCGUGCAGGAUGAAAUGUUGCCAGCCUGCGCUGACGGUCACCUAUCUGCAGGCAUUACACAACUCAUCCCAGCCCCACGCCAGGUUCGUGCAGAGGCAGCCUUGUGCCCUUUGAGCUGCCAGUGGCACAGGGAAAGCAGCCACCCGCACCGUGUGCCAGCCGGGGAGGCAGCGCUGCCUUCUGGGGCGUAGCUGCGAGGUAAAGCUUGUGCCUAUUGUUUGUCCUCUGUUGUGCUGCAACUCCUAGAGCUAUUAUUCAUACGGCCA
rnacentral:lncRNA from 1 species